rnacentral:lncRNA from 1 species
UGUAGGAGGAUCAUUCUUGAUCUCCAAACAACGUAAAUAUUGGUGUCUUAAUUUUUUUUCUGUGAUGUGUGCUUGCUGAAAUUUAUUUUUGAUAUUUGCAUAGUAGCAGAUUGCACACUAUUGCUUGUGGUUUCGCUUUUACCGAUCUAUUCUGCUGCAGGGUAUUAAAUAUAACCCCUUAAUUCCAUUACACCAACCAAGCUAGAAAAACUGAGAUGCAAACAUAAAACUCGAAUAACAAAGAGACCAAAACGGCCACAGC